AACGCGAAGAACCUUACCUAAGCUUGACAUCCUUUUGACCGAUGCCUAAUCGCAUCUUUCCCUUCGGGGACAGAAGUGACAGGUGGUGCAUGGUUGUCGUCAGCUCGUGUCGUGAGAUGUUGGGUUAAGUCCCGCAGCGAGCGCAACCCUUGCCUUUAGUUGCCAGCAUUAAGUUGGGCACUCUAGAGGGACUGCCAGGGAUAACCUGGAGGAAGGUGGGGAUGACGUCAAAUCAUCAUGCCCCUUAUGCUUAGGGCUACACACGUGCUACAAUGGGUGGUACAGAGGGCAGCCAAGUCGUGAGGCCGAGCUAAUCCCUUAAAGCCGUUCUCAGUUCGGAUUGUAGGCUGAAACUCGCCUACAUGAAGCUGGAGUUACUAGUAAUCGCAGAUCAGAAUGCUGCGGUGAAUGCGUUCCCGGGUCUUGUACACACGC
rnacentral:rRNA from 1 species